CAGGAUCGAACUGCCGACGUUCUGCGUGUUAAGCAGAUGCCAUGACCAACUAGACCA
rnacentral:tRNA from 1 species